rnacentral:rRNA from 1 species
UACGUAGGGUGCAAGCGUUGUUCGGAAUCAUUGGGCGUAAAGCGGGUGUAGGUGGUUAUGCAAGUCGGGUGUGAAAUCCCUCGGCUUAACCGAGGAAGUACAUUCGAUACUACAUAGCUAGAGGAAGGUAGAGGGAGGUGGAAUUCCUAGUGUAGAGGUGAAAUUCGUAGAUAUUAGGAGGAAUACCGGUGGCGAAGGCGGCCUCCUGGGCCUUCUCUGGCACUGAGACCCGAAAGCGUGGGGAUCAAACAGG